rnacentral:SRP_RNA from 1 species
GCUGGGCACGGUGGUUUACGCCUGUAAUCCCAGCUACUGGGGAGGCUGAGGUAGGAGAAUUCCUUGAGCCUGGGAGGCAGAGGUUGCAGUGAGCCGAGAUUGGGCCACUGCUCUCCAGUCUGGGCAAGAGAGUGAGACCCUGUCUCAAAAANNNNNNNNNNUUUUUGAGACAGGGUCUCACUCUCUUGCCCAGACUGGAGAGCAGUGGCCCAAUCUCGGCUCACUGCAACCUCUGCCUCCCAGGCUCAAGGAAUUCUCCUACCUCAG